rnacentral:rRNA from 2 species
GUUAUAUGGUCAAGUGAAGAAGCGCAUACGGUGGAUGCCUUGGCAGUCAGAGGCGAUGAAAGACGUGGUAGCCUGCGAAAAGCUUCGGGGAGUCGGCAAACAGACUUUGAUCCGGAGAUGUCUGAAUGGGGGAACCCAGCCAUCAUAAGAUGGUUAUCACACACUGAAUACAUAGGUGUGUGAGGCGAACCAGGGGAACUGAAACAUCUAAGUACCCUGAGGAAAAGAAAUCAACCGAGAUUCCCUUAGUAGUGGCGAGCGAACGGGGGUUAGCCCUUAAGCUUCUUUGAUUUUAGCGGAACGCUCUGGAAAGUGCGGCCAUAGUGGGUGAUAGCCCUGUACGCGAAAAGGUCUUAGAAGUGAAAUCGAGUAGGACGGAGCACGAGAAACUUUGUCUGAAUAUGGGGGGACCAUCCUCCAAGGCUAAAUACUACUGACUGACCGAUAGUGAACCAGUACCGUGAGGGAAAGGCGAAAAGAACCCCGGAGAGGGGAGUGAAAUAGAACCUGAAACCGUAUGCGUACAAGCAGUGGGAGCCUACUUUGUUAGGUGACUGCGUACCUUUUGUAUAAUGGGUCAGCGACUUAUUUUCAGUGGCGAGCUUAACCGAAUAGGGGAGGCGUAGCGAAAGCGAGUCUUAAUAGGGCGUCUAGUCGCUGGGAAUAGACCCGAAACCGGGCGAUCUAUCCAUGGGCAGGUUGAAGGUUAGGUAACACUGACUGGAGGACCGAACCGACUACCGUUGAAAAGUUAGCGGAUGACCUGUGGAUCGGAGUGAAAGGCUAAUCAAGCUCGGAGAUAGCUGGUUCUCCUCGAAAGCUAUUUAGGUAGCGCCUCGUGUAUCACUGCUGGGGGUAGAGCACUGUUUCGGCUAGGGGGUCAUCCCGACUUACCAAACCGAUGCAAACUCCGAAUACCAGCAAGUGUCAGCACGGGAGACACACGGCGGGUGCUAACGUCCGUCGUGAAAAGGGAAACAACCCAGACCGUCAGCUAAGGUCCCAAAAUCCUGGUUAAGUGGGAAACGAUGUGGGAAGGCUUAGACAGCUAGGAGGUUGGCUUAGAAGCAGCCACCCUUUAAAGAAAGCGUAAUAGCUCACUAGUCGAGUCGGCCUGCGCGGAAGAUGUAACGGGGCUCAAACCAGGUACCGAAGCUACGGGUUCAACGCAAGUUGAGCGGUAGAGGAGCGUUCUGUAAGCCUGUGAAGGUCAGUUGAGAAGCUGGCUGGAGGUAUCAGAAGUGCGAAUGCUGACAUGAGUAACGACAAUGCGAGUGAAAAACUCGCACGCCGAAAGACCAAGGGUUCCUGCGCAACGUUAAUCGACGCAGGGUGAGUCGGUCCCUAAGGCGAGGCUGAAGAGCGUAGUCGAUGGGAAACGGGUUAAUAUUCCCGUACUUCUAGUUACUGCGAUGGGGGGACGGAGAAGGCUAGGCCAGCAAGGCGUUGGUUGUCCUUGUUUAAGGUGGUAGGCAGAGAUCUUAGGUAAAUCCGGGAUCUUAAUGCCGAGAGCUGAUGACGAGCUUUCUUUUAGAAAGCGAAGUGGUUGAUGCCAUGCUUCCAGGAAAAGCCUCUAAGCUUCAGGUAACUAGGAACCGUACCCCAAACCGACACAGGUGGUUGGGUAGAGAAUACCAAGGCGCUUGAGAGAACUCGGGUGAAGGAACUAGGCAAAAUGGCACCGUAACUUCGGGAGAAGGUGCGCCGGUGAGGGUGAAGUAUUUACUACGUAAGCCCAUGCCGGUCGAAGAUACCAGGCCGCUGCGACUGUUUAUUAAAAACACAGCACUCUGCAAACACGAAAGUGGACGUAUAGGGUGUGACGCCUGCCCGGUGCCGGAAGGUUAAUUGAUGGGGUUAGCGCAAGCGAAGCUCUUGAUCGAAGCCCCGGUAAACGGCGGCCGUAACUAUAACGGUCCUAAGGUAGCGAAAUUCCUUGUCGGGUAAGUUCCGACCUGCACGAAUGGCGUAACGAUGGCGGCGCUGUCUCCACCCGAGACUCAGUGAAAUUGAAAUCGCUGUGAAGAUGCAGUGUAUCCGCGGCUAGACGGAAAGACCCCGUGAACCUUUACUAUAGCUUUGCACUGGACUUUGAAUUUGCUUGUGUAGGAUAGGUGGGAGGCUUUGAAGCGUG